rnacentral:rRNA from 1 species
CCUACGGGAGGCAGCAGUGGGGAAUAUUGCACAAUGGGGGAAACCCUGAUGCAGCGACGCCGCGUGGAGGAAGAAGGUCUUCGGAUUGUAAACUCCUGUUGUUGGGGAAAAAGAGGAUGGUACCCAACAAGGAAGUGACGGCUAACUACGUGCCAGCAGCCGCGGUAAAACGUAGGUCACAAGCGUUGUCCGGAAUUACUGGGUGUAAAGGGAGCGCAGGCGGGUAUGCAAGUUGGGAGUGAAAUACAUGGGCUCAACCCAUGAACUGCUCUCAAAACUGUGUAUCUUGAGUAGUGCAGAGGUAGGCGGAAUUCCCGGUGUAGCGGUGGAAUGCGUAGAUAUCGGGAGGAACACCAGUGGCGAAGGCGGCCUACUGGGCACCAACUGACGCUGAGGCUCGAAAGUGUGGGUAGCAAACAGGAUUAGAUACCCUUGUAGUC